GGCGAUCUUGGCGAUCGGGAAGCCGGUGGCCUUGGAAGCCAGCGCCGAGCUGCGCGACACCCGCGGGUUCAUCUCGAUCACCACCA
rnacentral:tRNA from 2 species